rnacentral:rRNA from 1 species
AGUGAACGCUGGCGGUAGGCCUAACACAUGCAAGUCGAACGGCAGCACAGGAGAGCUUGCUCUCUGGGUGGCGAGUGGCGGACGGGUGAGGAAUACAUCGGAAUCUACCUUUUCGUGGGGGAUAACGUAGGGAAACUUACGCUAAUACCGCAUACGACCUACGGGUGAAAGUGGGGGACCGCAAGGCCUCACGCGAUUAGAUGAGCCGAUGUCCGAUUAGCUAGUUGGCGGGGUAAUGGCCCACCAAGGCGACGAUCGGUAGCUGGUCUGAGGUGAUGAUCAGCCACACUGGCACUGAGACACGGUCCAGACUCCUACGGGAGGCAGCAGUGGGGAAUAUUGGACAAUGGGCGCAAGCCUGAUCCAGCCAUACCGCGUGGGUGAAGAAGGCCUUCGGGUUGUAAAGCCCUUUUGUUGGGAAAGAAAUCCUGUCGAUUAAUACUCGGUGGGGAUGACGGUACCCGCAGAAGAAGCCCCGGCUAACUUCGUGCCAGCCGCCGCGGUAAUAC